rnacentral:rRNA from 1 species
CCUACGGGGGGCUGCAGUGGGGAAUAUUGGACAAUGGGGGCAACCCUGAUCCAGCCAUGCCGCGUGUGUGAAGAAGGCCCUCGGGUUGUAAAGCACUUUCAGUGAGGAAGAACGCCUGGUGGUUAAUACCCAUCAGGAAAGACAUCACUCACAGAAGAAGCACCGGCUAACUCCGUGCCAGCAGCCGCGGUAAUACGGAGGGUGCGAGCGUUAAUCGGAAUUACUGGGCGUAAAGCGCGCGUAGGUGGCUUGAUAAGCCGGUUGUGAAAGCCCCGGGCUCAACCUGGGAACGGCAUCCGGAACUGUGAAGCUAGAGUGCAGGAGAGGAAGGUAGAAUUCCCGGUGUAGCGGUGAAAUGCGUAGAGAUCGGGAGGAAUACCAGUGGCGAAGGCGGCCUUCUGGACUGACACUGACACUGAGGUGCGAAAGCGUGGGUAGCAAACAGGAUUAGAUACCCCAGUAGUC